UUUAAAUAUGGGACAAUGGUGUUUCAGCCAAUCGCCGAAACAUCCCCAACUAUUCACACCCCCAAAACAUCGCAUUCAACUCUCUGUCUCCCACUCGCUACUCCUUACCUUGCCGAUCACCUCCGCCUCUACCGCUGUUAGAGUUGCCAAUCGCCGCCAUCGCCGCUAGUGGUGUCGAUCGUCACCGCCACCGCCAGCGCCACCGCUAGCCCUACCCUCCUCUUAGAUCGCCUCACCGCUUGGCGAUUUGGUACCAAAAGAGUAUUGAGCUCCUGAUCUUGGAGCUUCCAUUCAAGAGGCUUGUCCAUGAAAUUGCUCAGGACUUCAAGUUCAUGGGUCUUUGUUGCAAGUGGUGUCUUGAUAUGACUGGAUGGCAAGUGGUGUCUUGAUAUGAACUGCAUCAUGUGGACAAGAAACAUUAGUGGCAUAGUAGAUUGUCCACAAAUGUUGAGCUCAAAACUUGUAUUCUUAGUAGUAAACAAACAAUAUUAAAUUUUAGAUGUUAAGUUGAGUGAGUUUGUGGCUUGGGAUCAAUUUGAGGGAGUAUUUGAAUUCAAUAGAGUUAAUAAUAAAUUGUGAUUAGUUUGGUUUAGGUUAGAUUUUUGCAUCUUUUUAUAAGUUGAAUAAAUGAUACUAAAUAAAAGCUAAGAAUACUU